rnacentral:rRNA from 1 species
GAGUUGUUUGGGAAUGCUGCUCAAAAUGGGAGGUAAACCCCUUCUAAAGCUAAAUACCGGCCAGAGACCGAUAGCGCACAAGUAGAGUGAUCGAAAGAUGAAAAGCACUUUGAAAAGAGAGUUAAAAAGCACGUGAAAUUGUUGAAAGGGAAGCGCUUGCGACCAGACUCGCGCCCGUCGGAUCAGCCGUCGCUCGUCGGCGGCGCACUCCGGCGGGCUCGGGCCAGCAUCAGUUCGCCUCGGGGGGAGAAAGGCGGCGGGAAUGUGGCUCCACGGAGUGUUAUAGCCCACCGCGUAAUACCCCCGGGCGGACUGAGGACCGCGCGUAUGCAAGGAUGCUGGCGUAAUGGUCGUCAGCAACCCGUCUUGAAACAC